rnacentral:lncRNA from 1 species
UCUUUUCAAUCGCUGCUUCUACUUCUAGAUAACCUGCGAUGUAAUUUGAAUGAUUUUGUUUUUGCAGUGAAAAUUCUAUGGCCGAAGUUGAUCAGAACGCAGGUGAAUUUGAGGCACCUGAAAUAGUUGAGACUGAACAAAAUGAAACGGUGGUUGAUGUGUCGAUUGUUGAGCCUGAGAAGAAAUGGCCAGGGUGGCCAGGUGAGAGUGUGUUCAGAUUAAUUAAUAUAAUCGAUUAUUAUGCUACCUAACAACUAAUUAGUUAAUUACCACUCCAAAUAAAUAUAUAAAAUAUAGUAAUAAUAAUAUAAUAAUUAAAUACUAAAAUUGGGUUGUUACAAUGUGAUGCUCUAAAAUCAAGAAUCUAUAUGGAAGGAGAUAUGCAUGAUAUACUAGAAGAAUUUUACCCUUUAAUAGAGGACGCACACAUGACACAUAGCUGAGUGACAAGAAUCUUUUGAAUCUGCUCUGCAAUAUCAAAUAUUUGAGAAGUGAGCUUAGAUGAACAUACAUAAUCAUAAUCAUAACCAAAACCAAGGGAGUAGGAGCAGUAUUAGAAACAUUGGAUUAUAGACUUUUGAAAUUCUUCUUAUUUUAUCUCAAUAAUUCAGAACAUUGAGAUUUCCAAUGACCUUUCUUCUUACAAAAAGCACAUUCAUCAAUACCAAGUCAAAUUCUACCUUGAUAUUUUCUUUGUGAAUAAGAGGAGCAAAAACAAAUGGAGGAGUGUAGAGAAUUCAUUUAUUUGGAAUCAUAUUAGAGUGAGUCUUAAGUCUAAUUCCUUCUGCCAAUGACUCAUUAACAACUGGAUUAACAUUGAGAAAAGGAAUAUGAUAUAUAAUGCUUCCACGAAGACUCUCAAAGUCAUCUUGAAGGGUUAUUCGAAGUUGAAUGAGACACUGCUUUUCUCUUUGCUCGAUGUAUGCUUUUGACAAUUUUUAAUUUCAUUGAUUGCUUAAUAGCCAAUUGAUCCCAUAAAUCAGUCAUGGCCAAAUAAAAAUAUUGAAUGUUCAUACUGUUUUCCUUAAGAGCCUUAGGGUCUAUUUGAUUGAUGGAAAGGCAUGAAAUGGAAUGGAAUAUUGUCAUGUUCCACUGUUUGGUUUUAUAAAAAAUGAAUGGAAUGUGAUGGAACUCACCCCGUCUAAUACCACUUUUUUACCUCAUUUUUUAUUCCACUUAGGGUGUAUCUAAUGAAAAAGAAUAAAUUAGUAACAUAAUUAUAAAUUUGUCGUCCAAAAUUUAUCUUUCAUUAACCAUAUUAAUAAUUUAAAAGUAAAGAGUAAAAAUGGAAUAAAAAAUUAUAAUUCUUUAUGCUCCAUCCAAUUUUCAAACAAUAAAAUGAGAUAUUAGUCAUGUUCCGUCUAAAAUAACCAAACCGUGGAAUAAAGUUUAUGUUGUGUUCUGUUUCAUUCCGCUCUAUUCUAUCAUGUUUCGUUCCAGUUAGCUCUAUUAGCUUUGAAUUAUCCUUUAAAUUAUCCAAAUAGACCCUUAAUGUUACUCUCCAACUAGUAUCAUUUUAUAAAAUUAGACUGAUUAAACAAACAUUUCAAAUGAUUUCAAACCUCCUUAGCAAUAUCAUAUUUUGCUAGUUGCAUAUCUAUUUACUAACAAACAAGAUUAUUAAUCCAAGUGAGGAUCUUCGAAUUAUAAACAUCCCGUGUUUUCAACUUUUUUUUUCCAUAUGUUGCUUCAUAUUUUUUACCCGUGGGCUCAUCAGAAGUUUCAUCAACAUAACUUCAUAUCCUUUUUUCUUUCAAAAAAAAUUCAUUACAUAAUUCUAAUAAUAAAUACUUCAACCUUAGGGUUGGGAGAAAGAGAAAUCGUAAUACACACAACAUACCCCUAAAGCUAUAUAACUUUUCAACUCACAUGAACUUGCUCUCUCAUCAUCAUAAACAUCACCAAACAUGGUUUGUCACCAUCCUGAGCAAGACCUAACCCAUAAAAAAUUACUAAGGCCUUUGGCCACCCUACCAGCAUAGGGUGCCAUACAUUCUAUACUUUUUGACAAGUACAAUUAAGAAAACUUUUCACGUAUGAUGCUUUUUACAAAUUCACUAGUAAAAUGAACCCUGUAGACCUCCCCCUCUUAAGUCGUAAGUUCACUUGAUUUCAAUCAAAUAAGAGGGUGGUUAGUCGUCUUGACAAGAUUUUCAUUUAUGAAGGCUGAUGGAACUUGUGAGAGAUGGUUUUACCUAAAGACAUCCCUUAUCCUUGUCCUACCUAAAUACUAUCCAAUGUUAUUAUUUAUCAUCUUUCAUUUCAUUUUCAUUACUCCCAAUCGAGUCUCACUUUGCCUUUAUAUAUUUCUUUUCUAUUUCAAGUUAAAUUAAAGAUUUUUACAAAAUUGAACACACCAAACUAUAAAAUUUAAAAAUUAUAGAAAUCAAUUUUUAAAUUAAACUCUUUUUAACAAAAACAUUUAAUUAAUGUUUAAAAUUUUAAAAUCUAUUUUUGACAAAACAUGUCUUAAAAAUUUCAACGUCCUUAUUUUUUUCUCGUACGUUUUCGAUUAGGGUUGUUAAAAAAACAUGAACCAAACUGAACCACCUGAACCGAACCGAACUAAGGUCAAAAUAAUCAAACUAUUAUGUUUGAUCAGUGAAUCGAACCACAUUGCAUAAACAUUUAUAAAACCGAACCAUAUGUUAAGUAAAUCAAACUGAAAUCAAAACCGAACCGAACCGAAAUUGAAAAUAAAAAAUAAUAAAAACAAGUUUUAAUUUUAAAAAGAAAAAUUCAAAAAAUAGUUUAACGGUUUGGUUCUUUAGCAAAUGGUUCAAUUUGAGAAAAAAAAUGUCUUCUAACAACUUAGUACGGUUCAACAUUUUGAAAUAGUAUACCAAACCAAUAAUUUUGGAUCGAUUCGGUUCAAUUUCAUGACUUCUCUGAGAACUUAUAAGUUCCUCCGGAGUAGUCUUAUUCAAAUCUUUUGACACUUUUAGUGCAAUCACCAUUGAUCUCCACUUCUUAGGUAGACUUCUGAUGAUUUUAUUUACAUGAUAUGUAGUGGUAUAUCAUUUGUUUAAGGCUUUCAAUCCAGCCACAAGAGUUUAAAAUCUUGAGAAUAUUUUCUCAACCAUUUCAUCCUCUUCCAUUUUGAAGGAUUCAUAUUUCUGGAUUAAGGCCAAGAAUUUUGUCUCUUUAACUUGCAUAUUUCCUUCAUGAGUCAUUUUUAAAGAAUCAAAUACAGACUUAGCCGAGUCUCUAUUUGUUAUCUUUUCAUACUCAGAGUAGGAAAUCACAUUCAACAAUAUAGUUCUGGAUCUAUGAUGAUUCUUGUGAUCCUUCUUUUGUUGAUCGCUCAUUUUGUUUCUUUCAAUCCGAGUAGUAUCACUAUCAUCUAUAGGAAGUGUGUAACCAUAUAACACCAUAUCCCAUAAAUCUGCAUCAUAUCCAAGGAAGUAACUUUCAAUUCUAUCAUUCCAGUAAUCAAUAUUUUCUCCAUCAAAGAUCGGAGAUUUAGCAGAGUAAUAAUCAUUAUUGUUCGUAUAUGACUUCCAAUGCUAUUACUUAUCAUCUUUCAUUUUAUUUCCAUUACUUCCAAUCGAGUCUCACCCGCCUUUAUAUUUUUCUUUUCCAUUUCAACUCAAAUUAAAGAUUUUUAAAAAAUUUAUGCACCAAACUACAAAAUUUAAAAAUUAUAGAAAUCAAAUUUUAAAUUAAACUCUUUUUUAACAAAAACAUUCCAGUAAUGUUUAAAAUUUUAAAAUUUGUUUUCGACAAAAUAUCUCUUAAAAUUUCCACCAUCCUUAUUUUUUCUCCUACAGUUUCGAUUAGGACUGUUCAAAACAAUCAUAAACCGAACUGAACCAUUCGAACAAAACUGAAUCAAACUGAGGUUAAAAUAGCUGAACCGUUAUGUUUGGUUAGUGAAAUGAACCACGUUGCACAAACAAUUUAAAAACCGUAUUAAAUACUAAGUAAAUCAAACCAAAACUGAAAAUAAAAAAUAAUAAAAACAGGUUUUAAAAAAAAUCAAAAAAUAGUUUAACAAAUAAUUUGAUUUGGAAAAAAUUAUCUUCUAACAAUUCCAUACUGUUCAAUAUUUUGAAACAAUAUACCAAAUUAAUAAUUUUGAUUCCGUUCAAUUUUUAGUAAAUUAAACCGAUUUAUUUUUUUCCGAAUAUUUAACAUGGUUUAGUUCUAUGUUCAAUUUUCUCAUUAGAUUUUUAGAUUAUAUUAUCUAAUGCAAUCUUAGAAAUAAAAAAUAAAUAGAUAUAACUUCCCAUACACAAUCUUCUAUGUUCAAUUUUCUCAUUAGAUUUUUAGAUUAUAUUAUCUAAUGCAAUCUUAGAAAUAAAAAAUAAAUAGAUAUAACUUCCCAUACACAAUCAUCUAUUAUCCUUAGCUUAGUUCUCAUUACUCCCACUCCACUCCCUUGCCUUUUUCUUUCUCUUUCCCGUUUCCCCAACCCAAAACCCUAGAUUCCAUCAUUUUAACUCGUGAUUCGCAGCUCUAUCUACAAUCAAGGUAACUUUCACCACCAACACUCACCGUGUUCGUUUCAUCCAUCUAUCUACAUGCAUGUAUUUAUUCUACUGUAAAGUUACUGAUUCAGUAGUUCUCGUUGUUCAGUGGCUUUUCCUCGAUGAAUCCCAUGUAGAUCUAGUAUAAUAUAUCUUUUCUUUUCAAUCGCUGCUUCUACUUCUAGAUAACCUGCGAUGUAAUUUGAAUGAUUUUGUUUUUGCAGUGAAAAUUCUAUGGCCGAAGUUGAUCAGAACGCAGGUGAAUUUGAGGCACCUGAAAUAGUUGAGACUGAACAAAAUGAAACGGUGGUUGAUGUGCCGAUUGUUGAGCCUGAGAAGAAAUGGCCAGGGUGGCCAGGUGAGAGUGUGUUC